AUUGAACUCUGGCGGCAGGCCUAACACAUGCAAGUCGAGCGGAGCGGCGGACGGGUGAGUAAUGCCUAUGAAUCUGCCUGGUAGUGGGGGAUAACGUCCGGAAACGGGCGCUACUACCGCAUACUUUCAGAUGAGCCUAGGUUGGAUUAGCUAGUUGGUGGGGUAAAGGCCUACCAAGGCGACGAUGCGUAACUGGUCUGAGAGGAUGAGCAGUCACAGGGGAACGAAGACGCUGAGCAGACUUCGACGGGAGGCAGCAGUGGGGAAUCUUGGACAAGGGGCGAAAGGCUGUACCAGCCAUGCGGCGUGUGUGAAGAAGGUCUUCGGAUUGUAAAGGACUACACGUUGGGAGGCGGUACCAACAGAAUAAGCACCGGCUAACUCCGUGCCAGCAGCCGCGGUAAUAC
rnacentral:rRNA from 1 species